rnacentral:misc_RNA from 1 species
GAUGAAGAACGCAGCGAAAUGCGAUAACUAGUGUGAAUUGCAGAAUUCCGUGAAUCAUCGAGUCUUUGAACGCACAUUGCGCCCCCUGGUAUUCCGGGGGGCAUGCCUGUCCGAGCGUCAUUGCUGCCCAUCAAGCACGGCUUGUGUGUUGGGUCGUCGUCCCCCCCUCCGGGGGGGACGGGCCCUAAAGGCAGCGGCGGCACCGCGUCCGAUCCUCGAGCGUAUGGGGCUUUGUCACCCGCUCUGUAGGCCCGGCCGGCGCUUGCCGAACGCAAAACAACCAUUCUUUCCAGGUUGACCUCGGAUCAGGUAGGGACACCCGCUGAACUUAAGCAUAUCAAUAAGCGGAGGA